UACGUAGGGUGCGAGCGUUGUCCGGAAUUAUUGGGCGUAAAGAGCUUGUAGGCGGUUUGUCGCGUCUGCUGUGAAAUUUCGGGGCUCAACCCCGAACUUGCAGUGGGUACGGGCAGACUAGAGUGUGGUAGGGGAGACUGGAAUUCCUGGUGUAGCGGUGAAAUGCGUAGAGAUCAUGAGGAAGACCAGUGGCGAAGGCGGGUCUCUGGACAGUUCCUGACACUGAGACACGAAGGCCAGGGGAGCAAACGGG
rnacentral:rRNA from 1 species